rnacentral:rRNA from 1 species
AGAGUUUGAUCAUGGCUCAGGAUGAACGCUGGCUGUGUGCCUAAUACAUGCAUGUCGAACGAAGCACUUGUGCUUAGUGGCGAAUGGGUGAGUAACACGUACUUAAUCUACCCCAUAGUUUGGGACAACAGUUAGAAAUGACUGCUAAUACCGAAUAUACCUUCUUAUCGCAUGAUAGGUUGGCAAAAGGAGCGUUUGCUCCGCUAAGGGAUGAGAGUGCGCUACAUUAGUUAGUUGGUAGGGUAAUGGCCUACCAAGACGAUGAUGUAUAGCGGGGUUGAGAAGCUGAACCGCCACACUGGGACUGAGAUACGGCCCAGACUCCUACGGGAGGCAGCAGUAGGGAAUAUUCCACAAUGAGCGAAAGCUUGAUGGAGCGACACAGCGUGCAGGAAGACGGUCUUCGGAUUGUAAACUGCUGUUAUAAGGGAAGAACAACUAGUAGAGGAAAUGCUAUUAGCCUGACGGUACCUUAUCAGAAAGCACCGGCAAACUAUGUGCCAGCAGCCGCGGUAAUACAUAGGGUGCAAGCGUUAUCCGGAAUCAUUGGGCGUAAAGCGUCUGUAGGUGGUUUAUUAAGUCUAGAGUUAAAGCCUGGGGCUCAACCCCAGCCCGCUCUGGAUACUGAUAGACUAGAGUUAUAGAGAGGUCGGUAGAACUCCAUGUGAAGCGGUGGAAUGCGUAGAUAUAUGGAAGAAUACCAAUGGCGAANGCAGCCGACUGGAUAUAUACUGACACUCAGAGACGAAAGCGUGGGUAGCAAACAGGAUUAGAUACCCUGGUAGUCCACGCCGUAAACGAUGAUCGUUAGCCGGUGGAAUUUAUCACUGGCGCAGCUAACGCGUUAAACGAUCCGCCUGAGUAGUAUGCUCGCAAGAGUGAAACUUAAAGGAAUUGACGGGGACCCGCACAAGCGG